UAGGGAAUCUUCGGCAAUGGACGAAAGUCUGACCGAGCAACGCCGCGUGAGUGAAGAAGGUUUUCGGAUCGUAAAACUCUGUUGGUAGAGAAGAACGUUGGUGAGAGUGGAAAGCUCAUCAAGUGACGGUAACUACCCAGAAAGGGACGGCUAACUACGUGCCAGCAGCCGCGGUAAUACGUAGGUCCCGAGCGUUGUCCGGAUUUAUUGGGCGUAAAGCGAGCGCAGGUGGUUUAUUAAGUCUGGUGUAAAAGGCAGUGGCUCAACCAUUGUAUGCAUUGGAAACUGGUAGACUUGAGUGCAGGAGAGAGAGUGGAAUUCCAUGUGUAGCGGUGAAAUGCGUAGAUAUAUGGAGGAACACCGGUGGCGAAAGCGGCUCUCUGGCCUGUAACUGACACUGAGGCUCGAAAGCGUGGGGAGCAAACAGGAUUAGAUACCCUGGUAGUCCACGCCGUAAACGAUGAGUGCUAGAUGUAGGGAGCUAUAAGUUCUCUGUAUCGCAGCUAACGCAAUAAGCACUCCGCCUGGGGAGUACGACCGCAAGGUUGAAAC
rnacentral:rRNA from 1 species